CAUUUACUAAUAGAUUAUUAUCCACUAUCACAGAAGUCCAACUCUGCCCUUGAAAACCAAAUUCCUCGGUGAUAACAUGAGCAGAAUAGAAAGCAAAGAAUUGAAAUCUACAAACAUCUCUUCAAUUUUUCAACAGAUUUUAGUCUUCUGGUACUGUUAUACACCAAAUCCAUUAUUAACAAACCGAACCAGCCCUUAGAAUCACAAAAAUUAGCUAAAGACAAACUCAAACCCAUAAAAUAAAAUAGAUCGGAAAUGCUUGCACAUGGCUCAAACAAUUAGUAUGCAACAAGAUAUCAUUCCAAGUUAAAAAACCAAACAGAAGGACUGACCUAAUAUUAUUGAAAUUCUGGAGCAAAUACAAUGAAAAUAAAGCUCUAGGACAGCAAAGCAUUCGAGCGAGCUAUAGACUAGACAUCUGGACCGGAAUCGCAACCUCGAACAGGCAAUUGAGCCUCGAACGGAUAGUGACGACCUCAAACCAACCUUGGCAUAAAACUAUUUGCGCAUGUGCGAGUGAUUUUUCGAGAACAAAAUAGCGGGCUGGUUCUGGGGGAGAUCGAUGGAAGCGUUGCAGCAGUUUUUGCUAGCUGAGACCGUCUCAAAGGGCGCUGGCUGUGGCGGUGGUCAAGAGUGAGUUGAAAGAGAAGGGGUAUUGUUGGUGUUUUUGAAGAAAAAGCAGCAGCUUCUUUUGUCUAUGGUUGCUCUAAGCUCUCACGAGAAGAAGACAAAUAGGGAGGGGGUCCGUUGGUUUUGUUGUUGCGUUCUUCAAUUGGAGAAGAAGCAGACGAACAACGGGUCCUCUGUUUUUUGUGUUCAGCGGCAGAAGUUCUGUGAAGAAGAAGAGCAAACGAUUGGGG
rnacentral:lncRNA from 1 species